AACAAUCCACGCGGGAGCGCACGCCGAGUGCGCUGAGAGGACGGCUGGGCCGUCGACCGUCCGAACCUGACCGGGUAAUGCCGUCGUAGGGAGAUGCUCAUGACCGAUC
rnacentral:ncRNA from 2 species